rnacentral:rRNA from 1 species
UAAGCCUUGGAAACGGGGUCNUAAUACCGGAUAUGAGCCUGCAUCGCAUGGUGUGGGUUGGAAAGUUUUUCGGUGGGGGAUGGGCUCGCGGCCUAUCAGCUUGUUGGUGGGGUGAUGGCCUACCAAGGCGUCGACGGGUAGCCGGCCUGAGAGGGCGACCGGCCACACUGGGACUGAGACACGGCCCAGACUCCUACGGGAGGCAGCAGUGGGGAAUAUUGCACAAUGGGCGAAAGCCUGAUGCAGCGACGCCGCGUGAGGGAUGACGGCCUUCGGGUUGUAAACCUCUUUCAGCAGGGAAGAAGCGCAAGUGACGGUACCUGCAGAAGAAGCGCCGGCUAACUACGUGCCAGCAGCCGCGGUAAUACGUAGGGCGCAAGCGUUGUCCGGAAUUAUUGGGCGUAAAGAGCUCGUAGGCGGUCUGUCGCGUCUGGUGUGAAAUCCCGAGGCUCAACCUCGGGCUUGCAUCGGGUACGGGCAGACUAGAGUGCGGUAGGGGAGACUGGAAUUCCUGGUGUAGCGGUGGAAUGCGCAGAUAUCAGGAGGAACACCGAUGGCGAAGGCAGGUCUCUGGGCCGCAACUGACGCUGAGGAGCGAAAGCAUGGGGAGCGAACAGGAUUAGAUACCCUGGUAGUCCAUGCCGUAAACGUUGGGCACUAGGUGUGGGGCUCAUUCCACGAGUUCCGUGCCGCAGCUAACGCAUUAAGUGCCCCGCCUGGGGAGUACGGCCGCAAGGCUAAAACUCAAAGGAAUUGACGGGGGCCCGCACAAGCGGCGGAGCAUGCGGAUUAAUUCGAUGCAACGCGAAGAACCUUACCAAGGCUUGACAUGCACCGGAAACACCCAGAGAUGGGUGCCCCGCAAGGUCGGUGCACAGGUGGUGCAUGGUUGUCGUCAGCUCGUGUCGUGAGAUGUUGGGUUAAGUCCCGCAACGAGCGCAACCCUCGUCCUAUGUUGCCAGCGGGUUAUGCCGGGUGGGGCCGGGGUCAACUCGGAGGAAGGUGGGGAUGACGUCAAAUCAUCAUGCCCCUUAUGUCUUGGGCUUCACGCAUGCUGGCCGGUGGGCUG